rnacentral:rRNA from 1 species
GCCCUUGACUUUGGGAUAACUUCAGGAAACUGGGGCUAAUACCGGAUAGGAGCUCUGCUGCAUGGUGGGGGUUGGAAAGUUUCGGCGGUUGGGGAUGGACUCGCGGCUUAUCAGCUUGUUGGUGGGGUAGUGGCUUACCAAGGCUUUGACGGGUAGCCGGCCUGAGAGGGUGACCGGCCACAUUGGGACUGAGAUACGGCCCAGACUCCUACGGGAGGCAGCAGUGGGGAAUAUUGCACAAUGGGCGGAAGCCUGAUGCAGCAACGCCGCGUGCGGGAUGACGGCCUUCGGGUUGUAAACCGCUUUCGCCUGUGACGAAGCGUGAGUGACGGUAAUGGGUAAAGAAGCACCGGCUAACUACGUGCCAGCAGCCGCGGUGAUACGUAGGGUGCGAGCGUUGUCCGGAUUUAUUGGGCGUAAAGGGCUCGUAGGUGGUUGAUCGCGUCGGAAGUGUAAUCUUGGGGCUUAACCCUGAGCGUGCUUUCGAUACGGGUUGACUUGAGGAAGGUAGGGGAGAAUGGAAUUCCUGGUGGAGCGGUGGAAUGCGCAGAUAUCAGGAGGAACACCAGUGGCGAAGGCGGUUCUCUGGGCCUUUCCUGACGCUGAGGAGCGAAAGCGUGGGGAGCGAACAGGCUUAGAUACCCUGGUAGUCCACGCUGUAAACGGUGGGUACUAGGUGUGGGGUCCAUUCCACGGGUUCCGCGCCGUAGCUAACGCUUUAAGUACCCCGCCUGGGGAGUACGGCCGCAAGGCUAAAACUCAAAGGAAUUGACGGGGCCCCGCACAAGCGGCGGAGCAUGCGGAUUAAUUCGAUGCAACGCGUAGAACCUUACCUGGGUUUGACAUGGAUCGGGAGUGCUCAGAGAUGGGUGUGCCUCUUUUGGGGUCGGUUCACAGGUGGUGCAUGGCUGUCGUCAGCUCGUGUCGUGAGAUGUUGGGUUAAGUCCCGCAACGAGCGCAACCCUUGUUCACUGUUGCCAGCACGUUAUGGUGGGGACUCAGUGGAGACCGCCGGGGUCAACUCGGAGGAAGGUGGGGAUGACGUCAAGUCAUCAUGCCCCUUAUGUCCAGGGCUUCACGCAUGCUACAAUGGCUGGUACAGAGAGUGGCGAGCCUGUGAGGGUGAGCGAAUCUCGGAAAGCCGGUCUCAGUUCGGAUUGGGGUCUGCAAC